rnacentral:rRNA from 1 species
CGUCUGGAAAGGCGCGCGAUACAGGGUGACAGCCCCGUACACAAAAGCGCAUGUGCUGUGAGCUCGAUGAGUAGGGCGGGACACGUGGUAUCCUGUCUGAAUAUGGGGGGACCAUCCUCCAAGGCUAAAUACUCCUGACUGACCGAUAGUGAACCAGUACCGUGAGGGAAAGGCGAAAAGAACCCCGGCGAGGGGAGUGAAAAAGAACCUGAAACCGUGUACGUACAAGCAGUGGGAGCACCCUUCGGGGUGUGACUGCGUACCUUUUGUAUAAUGGGUCAGCGACUUAUAUUCUGUAGCAAGGUUAACCGUAUAGGGGAGCCGGAGGGAAACCGAGUCUUAACCGGGCGUUAAGUUGCAGGGUAUAGACCCGAAACCCGGUGAUCUAGCCAUGGGCAGGUUGAAGGUUGGGUAACACUAACUGGAGGACCGAACCGACUAAUGUUGAAAAAUUAGCGGAUGACCUGUGGCUGGGGGUGAAAGGCCAAUCAAACCGGGAGAUAGCUGGUUCUCCCCGAAAGCUAUUUAGGUAGCGCCUCGUGAAUUCAUCUCCGGGGGUAGAGCACUGUUUCGGCUAGGGGGCCAUCCCGGCUUACCAACCCGAUGCAAACUGCGAAUACCGGAGAAUGUUAUCACGGGAGACACACGGCGGGUGCUAAAGUCUGACGUGCAGAGGGAAACAACACAGACCGCGAGCAAAGGUCCCAAAGUCAUGGAAAAGCGGGAAAUGAUGGGGGAAGGCCAAGAAAGCCAGGAUGUUGGCUUAGAAGCAGCCAUCAGUUAAAGAAAGCGUAAUAGCGCACUGGUAGAGUCGGCCUGCGCGGAGGAGGUAACGGGGCUAAACCAGGCAGCGAAGCGGCGGAAGCGAACGUAACAGCCAAGACAAC